rnacentral:piRNA from 1 species
UCCCAGGAGAACAGAGGUGAUUUCCGAGG